CUCUUAGACGUUCUGGGCCGCACGCGCGCUACACUGACACAGGCAACGAGCUUUCCUUUACCGAAAGGUAUGGGUAAUCUUUUGAAACUGUGUCGUGCUGGGGAUAGAUCCUUGCAAUUUUUGAUCUUAAACGAGGAAUUCCUAGUAAGCGCGAGUCAUCAACUCGCGUUGAUUACGUCCCUGCCCUUUGUACACACCGCCCGUCGCUACUACCGAUUGAAUGGCUUAGUGAGGCCUCAGGAUCCGCGCUUAAUGUGUGGAGAAUUUGGACAAACUACGUCAUUUAGAGGAAGUAAAAGUCGUAACA
rnacentral:rRNA from 1 species